CUCAUAUUGGCCAUGCACCUUACCUGCUUAUCAUACUGCCCUUAAACUCUGUCAGGCAAGCAACAAAAUCCUCCUCAAGGGUCUUCUUGAAAAUGGUCUAUAUCGUGUCUCUACUCCUUCUCCAAUUCCAUCUUCUUUCCCACGGCUGUUUCUCUCCUCCAAGACUGACCUCAAUUUGUGGCAUUCUCGUUUAGGACAUUCCUCGCACGAUGUCGUCAAUCGUGCUCUUUCUCAAUGUAAUUUUUUAGUUUCUAAGAAAGAUCAUUUUACUUUUUGUUUUCCUCUUGUCAAAUGGCUAAGUCUCACUGACUUCCAGUCCCACUCUCUGUAUCUCGGGCUUUAAUGCCUUUUGAAUUAAUACAUACCGAUCUUUGGGGUCCUUCCCCUGUU